GAUGGAGGCUCUCUCUCUGUGCAACUGGGGGUGUGGUGAUGCAAAUAUCCUUCUGGCCACCGCCACUGGGGCCGUGCUGGGUCAGACCUGAAGGCAGCACAGCACUGGAUUUCACCUGAGGCCCUCUAUAAUCACUACCCGGCUGCCACCUAUGUUCACUCAAGACCCUAUGUUCAUUCAACGGCUCUAUAAUCAGCAGAUGGCAAAUCCAGCCAGGUUCAUGUGCUUCCCUUCAGGAUGUUACCAACUGGGUUGCUUUGGUAUACUCCUAAGAGGAAGGGCACCCUUGUUUCAGCUAUGUUCCGGCAAAGUGUGAAGUUCAAGAUCUUUCCAGAGGGGAGCAUGGAAUAAGAGUAAAUCAGAGUUUGUGCCAGUCCUUUUACUUUUUAAGCCCAAAUACCUGGUGACAAUCCAGCUGCCUGAUUCUUGAAGCCACUUGAUUUUGGCAGGAGUGUGUGACUCCACCUCAACCCACUCCCCUUCCAAGAAAUAAAAAUAACUCCACUGUGCUUGGGCUGUCACCAGUUCACCAGACUCCAGGGAAGCUCCUGUCUGUGAUGUCGCAUUCAUUUCUGAAUGCUGGCAUUGUACUUUGAAAUUCCCAAACAAAAUGCACAGAGAAACACCAGGUGAAUAACAAUGAAACCAGCAGCAUUUAUUUUUGUGCGUGGCAGUCUCAGCUACAUUUUUGUAAAAGACCUUUUUGCCAAAAUUAGUUUAGGUUUCAAGUCACGUUUCACCCUCAGUCAAAUAUAAAGGUCACUCAGUGAACAAAGGGGAGAUUGUGUAUUCUUGGUGAUCACAGAUGAAGCUGGAAAGGCAGCCUCUUUCAAACAAAAUGAGGUAGUUAAGUGGAAAAUGAAGGCGGCGAAUUCUAUAGAGCAGCGCUCAACAACAAGGGAUGCUGGCGUUUUUUUUCUUGACAUAAACACAAUAACACAUAGAGAAAAGCCUAACAGAGAGGAGAGUGACCCAGGUGCUGUAUAAACAGAUUUUCAGACAGGCAGUUGGAGCCCCGUGGUAUGUUUAGUUUCUCCCACUCCCUGCUACUUUAUCCUUUGUCAGAUUCAAUACAGCCUUCAAGGGCACUGGAGGCAGAAGAAAGAGAAAAAUGCCUGGGGAAGGGAAAAGGGGAGGGGGAGAAAACAGUCUCCUCUCCUAGCCUUUGUUAAAGAAUAAAAGCGCAAAACGUGUAAAAAUCAUUUACUCUCUACCCGACAGUGCCAACAUGUUUGACACUGGUUUGCUAGAGCUUAUAGAGAAACUCUGUUGACAUUUUAUUCACAUAAGAGUUUUGAAUUAUAUAAGGCUUUUUGAGAUGCGCUGUUGGAUAUAAUCUGAAUAGUCAAGCUUAGGGGGGGAGAAAAACCACAUAACACCCAGUAACUCUUAAAUGUUUAUAUAAAUCCCAAAGUGGAAAGAAAGGAUAAAAUGGUAAGAACAAAAAUAUUUGCUUAUUCUUAGACAGCAACCUAAUACACCUGUGUCAAAAAUAAAAAUUACACUUUGAAAAGGACAUGCAAAUGCCCAACUUUUUCCCAGAGCUUCUCUCUUAUCCUUUAGGUAAGGGAACUUAGGACUUAAAUAUAAUAAGCAAACACAGCGGGAUUCAAGAGAUUCUGUCCUUCUGCAGGUGAUACAUUUUGAUACUUUAUUUUCUUUUGACAAAUGCACAUAUAUUUUUAAUUAAGUACAUCUAUUCAUUGCAGUGAAAUUAGAACGUACAGAUAAAGAAAAAACAAACACGUCUAACCUUACUUUUCAGAUAAUCAUAGUUAAAAUUUUUCUAUAUUUUAAAUACUUUUUCUAUGUGCAUACAAUAUGCAUAAUACAUACAUACACAUACUAUAAAAUUAAAAUAUUCAGUUUAUGUUGUUUUGCAAUCUGUUCAAUAAAAUAUGUUGUAUACUCAUU
rnacentral:lncRNA from 1 species